rnacentral:rRNA from 1 species
UACGGAGGAUCCGAGCGUUAUCCGGAUUUAUUGGGUUUAAAGGGUGCGUAGGCGGACUGUUAAGUCAGCGGUAAAAGCCCGGGGCUCAACCGUGGAAUUGCAGUUGAAACUGGAGGCCUUGAGUGCACACAGGGAUGCCGGAAUUCAUGGUGUAGCGGUGAAAUGCAUAGAUAUCACGCAGAACUCCGAUUGCGAAGGCAGCAUACCGGCGCCCAACUGACGCUGAAGCACGAAAGCGUGGGUAUCGAACAGG